rnacentral:rRNA from 1 species
AACGAACGCUGGCGGCAUGCCUAACACAUGCAAGUCGAACGAGACCUUCGGGUCUAGUGGCGCACGGGUGCGUAACGCGUGGGAAUCUGCCCUUGGGUUCGGAAUAACUCAGAGGAAUUUGAGCUAAUACCGGAUGAUGACGAAAGUCCAAAGAUUUAUCGCCCAAGGAUGAGCCCGCGUAAGAUUAGCUUGUUGGUGGGGUAAUGGCCCACCAAGGCGACGAUCUUUAGCUGGUCUGAGAGGAUGAUCA